UACAGAGGAGCCAAGCGUUGUCCGGAUUGACUGGGCGUAAAGCGCACGCAGGCGGGUGCGCGCGGGGGGGGGGAAAUCUGGCCGCUUAACGGCCAGGCGCCAUCCCAUACGGCGCGCCUGGAGGGCUGCAGAGGUCGAUGGAAUUGCCGGUGUAGUGGUGAAAUGCGUAGAGAUCGGCAGGAACACCCAGGGGGAAACCAGUCGACUGGGCAGCACCUGACGCUGAGGUGCGAGAGCGUGGGGAGCGAACCGG
rnacentral:rRNA from 1 species